UACGGAGGGUGCAAGCGUUGUUCGGAAUCAUUGGGCGUAAAGCGCGUGUAGGCGGUUUCUUAAGUCUGGUGUGAAAGCCUAGGGCUCAACCCUAGAAGUGCACUGGAUACUGGGAAACUAGAGGACGAGAGAGGAGAGUGGAAUUCCUGGUGUAGGGGUGAAAUCCGUAGAUAUCAGGAGGAACAUCAGAGGCGAAGGCGGCUCUCUGGCUCGUAUCUGACGCUGAGACGCGAAAGCGUGGGGAGCAAACAGG
rnacentral:rRNA from 1 species